CGUGACAAGAUCCUUUACCAUAACAAUUGCGUGUUUAUAUAUGUUGUUAUUCGAUAAAUAGACAAAAUGAAUCAGAAUUAUGCUUCAGUUUAUUUGUGUAACCCUAAAAUUAUUUAUCCACUUGGUUAAUGACAUACAACAGAGACACUAUCAUCCAUAUCUCCUCCUCCCAUAGAAAUUACAGCAGUGUUAUCCUGUCCAUCCACAAGAAACAAAAAUAAUUUAAUAUGAGAAAUAAAAUGCACAAGUCUCCUUAUUUUACAUAAACCAAAAAUACCACUGCUUUAAGCAACACACCAUUAUACAGCAUAAAAUUGUCUCAUCUUAGCACAAUCAUUUGCAGAACACAGAACAGGUCGAAACUAAUCGUGACAAGAUUAGGAGUGAGCAAAAAACGGAUAAAACCGAAAUAUCGAACCGAACCGAAAUUUUUUAACCGAAUUAUUUCGGUUUUUCGGUUUUUUUUACAAUUUCGGUUAUAUCCGAAUUAUUAUUCACUAUUCGGUUACGGUUUCGGUUUGGAAAAACAGGUUAUUCGGGUAUGCGAAUAACCGAACCUUACUUAUUAAAAAAAUUAAUUUUAUAAUAAUAUUAUUAUCUGAUAUCUCACUAAUCUCAGAUUUAUAAUAAUAUUAUAAAUCUACUUGUCCGCCAUUAUGCAUAAAUUACAACAGUAAUUCGGUUUUUUCCCGAAUUACCGAAAUUACAAUUCGGUAAUUCGGUAUUCGGUAACUCGGUUAUUGUUAAAUUUCGGUUAUUAGUUCGGAUAGCAAAAUCAUCAUUAUUUCGGUUUUCGGUUAUAACCGAAUAGCUUAUUCGGUUCGGUUAUAACCGAAUGAUCACCCCUAGACAAGAUCUUUCACCAAAACUCUUGCACGUUUAUGAUCAUGUUAAACAGGUCAAAACCCAUUUAACCAGUUUGAUAAACAGAUUAUGUUGCACAAAUAAGCUGAAGCACAACUCAUUUUGUCUAUUUAUCAAAUAACAACAUGACCUACCUAACAUGAAACACAAUUCAUUUAAUAAAAUGUGAUAUAAAUGGCAAAACAGAAAUAACAUAGUUAAAUAAAUAACAAAUAAAGUUUCAACUUGAUUGUUAAAGACAACUUAUAGUGCCAUAUCGUAUUCAUAUCCUAAUUAUUCAGAUAUCAUUAUAAUUAAACUUACUUUAUUUUUGUUAAAAGGGUUGAUCUGUGGUGAUCUGUGGGGCACGAUACCAAUCCAACUAAAUUCGUGUCAAACGGCUUGACAGCUAAUUUUUUUAUAUUCACCCAGACACUCUUAUUCCAUAUCGUGUGUACUUGUUCUUCUUGUGCUCAUCUCAUAAAAUUGUCACCCCUAGUGCAAAUUCAAGGUUUUACCUAGUAAAUUAUACUAGGAUGAAGAAACAUAUGGAAUUUUGGCCUCCAAACCAUGUCAUUUACAUAAUCAACAAACGAUGACAGAUCACAAAUUCCACAACUCAUAUAUGAUAUACAUGAACAUAUUACUAUAAAAUUCACAAACUAGUUUAAAUAAACAUAUUCAGAUUGCUGUUGGAAGCCUAGAUUGAAGUAAUAUGUUUAUCAGCAACCCAAUAGAGCAUAUUAUCUACUUUUUUGUUUUAAAAAAAACAAUAACAUGUAAAGUUUAAUCCUUAAAAUUUCAGACAGAGGGGGAAACAAAUGUAGAUCAGGUUAGGAUGAACACAUGAGGCCUGUAAAUUCCGCAUAUUCAAUACAUAUAUGGAGAAACUGAGAUAUAUAUACCACUAAAUAACCUAACCUCUUUUCUCGACAAAACUUUCUAGAUAUUAUCAAUAAUGCAAAUAAUAACAUGAAUAAUCGUGGCGUGUCAAUUAUUUAUUUAAUAAUAUAAAAUAUUGUGCAGAUGAUACUGUGACAAUAAUUGAAUCAAUAAUAUGAGAUACUAUGUAACAACUACUGUGACAAUUAUUAAAUACUAACUGACUUCUUACGUAAGCAUCAAUAAUCAGAGAUACUUUGCAAUACCGUGUGCUACUUUUCAAUACCGUGUACCACUGUGGAACAACGCGUAAUAUUGUACUUUUAUCACCGGAUAUUUCAACAAUUUAACGGAAAAAGUUUUGGCGUUAUUUUUAUAAAAAGGGUAAUUUCUUUUAUAUUAUAUUAUAGUUUAUUAAAUUUAACUUAAUUUAUUUAUUAUAUUUAUUAUAUUUAUUAAAUUUAUUUUAUUUUAUUAUGAUUUAUUUUAUUUUUAUUUUAUAUUAUAUUAUUAUAUUAAAUAUAAUUUUUUUUAAUUUACAUUAUUUUUUAAUUAAAUUAAUUGAUAUUUGAAAAAUAAAUUAUUUUAUUUUAUGUAUUAUAUUUUAUUUUAUAUUGUAUUCUUUUAGUAAAUUAAAUUAAAUUUAUUUAAUUGAAUUAUAUUACUGAUUUUGCAUUAGAAUAGUUCUAACAGAUUUUGCAUAUGAAUAAUUUUGACAAAUUUUGCAUUAGAAUAGUUCUAACAGAAAUUCCGUCGAGAAUUUCGUCAGAAAUAACAAACAUACCAAUUAGAAUCAAUCAACAUAGAUGGUUCUAAAAUUAGUGGCAAGAUUCAUACGACGACCCCAAAAUAUCAGUGACGAUCAAUUAACAUAAGUUUCAUCAAAUAAAAUUAGUUCCAAAACACAAAUUUUGUUCCAAUUAAGUCAAUUAACAUACACUUGAUUAAUUAAAAUAUAGCAAUAAUAGUCCCAAAACACAAUAUCAGUCCCAAAAUUAUUUACCCAAAUCAUAUACAUAUGGCAGUCCCAAAUCAUAAUAUAAAUAACUUCUCAUCAAUUAUCAACAACAAUCUAAUUAACACUAAUUUUCAAAUAACAAUCUAAUUAUACUACUGUGAAGAGGCUAAUUAACACCAUUUGGGGUUUAAUUCGUCUGCCUAGGUUAAUUUUUCAUAUGGGCAGUGUUCAGGAUGGUGCACCAUAUGUUUGGUGUUUGUAAGUCCAAGAGAGAUAAAGAGAGUGUACCUGAGCACUACUUCGUUGUUGCCGCUAUCGCCGGUGCUAGAGUUUCAAGUUGUCGUCACCGUACGAAACCCUCAAUUGUGUAAGUAUUGUGUGUGGGGAGGUGUUGGGGGAGGUUGGGAACAGAAGAAGAGGAGGAGACUCGGAGGUGUGGGGAGGAGGCGCCGAGGUUGGGAAAGGAAGAGGAGGAGGCUCGGUGGUGUGGGGAACAGCUGCCGCCAGCAGAGAGAGAGAUGGAAAAAGUGAUGAGAUCUGUUAACUGAUUGCGAUUUUAAGUUUUAAAAUGUUAUUUUCGACAGAAUUCCGUCGAGUUUAUUUCUGCCGCUCUUUAAUUAUUUUCGACGAACUAUUCCGUCGAGUUUAACACAUUCUGUCGACCUUGAUACUCGCGCUGGCGGAAAAGCUUGGAGCCAAUGAGAGGUCAUAAUACCGACGGAUGUCCGUCGAGGAUAAAAGAAGGCCGACGGGAUAAUAUCAACGUAAGAUCCAGUCGGAAUUAGAUUAAAGUCGACGGAAUUUGUUCGGUCGGAAUUAAUUCCGUAGGAGAUAACACUUUUUCUUGUUGUGUAUCUCCAUGCACAAUUUAUUAUACCCAAACAUACCCUUUGAUAUACCCUAAAGGUCUUAAGGGACAUGUCAAAGUAUAACUCAUCAUACAUAAAAUACUAUAAUGAUCUCAAGUUUAAAGAUCAUUUGUACUACUAUCACUAGAGAAAUUACUAUUGACAGACAAAUAAAACUCCAUUAGAUAUUCCAUAACGAACCACAUUUAGUGAACUUAUUCUUCAAUAAACACCUACAUACUUUCUUUAAUGUCUCUACACAAAUGAUUAUGAGAUCAAUUAUUCUCAUCCAAUGAGCAAGUAACGUAUGUAUCAAUCUAUCCGGAAUCACUAAUCCUCUUUUUAUUAGUCCAUUGGGAACAAUUUUAAUUUUAAGCUAUUUAAGAAUUUAGAUCUCAUUAGCGUGAUCAUCAUCAUAAACAUUACUUAAAACUAUAGGUUCAUCACAUAUUAAUAUAACAUCAUGUAGAUAAAUUAAAUGCUUUUAAAUAAAUAAUUCUUUUAUUAAUAAAUGAAUAAGAUUGUUACAAAGUAUAUACUUUAUUAUAUCAAAUAUGAUUGACUUGUGUGCAUACUAUUUUUAUUAAUGUCCUUUCUUUGUGACUAAAUAUCCAAAUCUGUUGGGUUUGAAGAGAUGUUUGUGUCUUUAAGUGACGGAACUAAUAGUGGAUUUUCUACUCAUGGAGUAGAAGAGUGUACUAGAAGUUAUUAAAUCUCCAAACCACUUAAAAUCUUGUGUUAUUUACUUUUAGUCAUUUACAGUCUGUCACAUAUCUAUUAUAUAUAUCAUAUAUGAUAAAUGACCAACUUCUACAUAAGUUAAAAUUCUGAGCUGAGAUUUCUUAUAAAUAUUUAAGGGGAGUUUUUCAAACUUAGAUUUCGUUGUGCAUAAUCAAUCUUGAUUAACCGAUUACUUGGUAGCAGUUCUUUGAUUAAUUGAAUUAUUUUUAAAAUAUCUAUUCAACCCCCCUUCUAAAUCUUUAUUGUCUCUGGGAAAUAACAUAUUUGAGUAAAUAACCACCAUCCUUUUAAAAAGUCAGAAUCCAUCUCAGUCGUUGAUUAUUUUCAGGAUAUGCUGAAAAAUUAUUAUGCCAUGCUAUAUAUGCUGCUAUGCAAUUAUUUUUCAAAAAUAAAUCUUUUCUAAAGUAUAUGCAUAAACUUAGGGGGAAACUAUUAAAAAAAUAUUUUUAUUUGAUUGUCAUCAUCAAAGAGAGGGAGAUUUUAGGUCUCUAAAUUUUAGUUUUAUUUUGAUGAUAACAAUAAUUAGUAAAUAGGUCAAGUAAAUAUUAUAAUCCUCUCUAUAGGAUUUAUAUUAUAAUUUAUUUUAACUAUAUUAUUUACUUUGACCAAAAAUAUUUUCAAAUCUUAUUGAAUUAAUAUUUGAGUAAAGUUCAGAUGACCACCUAGGGUUUUUGCGCUUUCCCACUUAAACACAUGUAGUCAGUAAAGUUACAUUUCAACUCUCGACUUUUUGGGUUGAAGUGAAUAAAUGAUUUUCGUCUUAACUCCGUUACUUGAGUUGGCUAAAGACUUAAUUACCCUCUAUAUAUAUAUUGAUCAUCAGGCAAAGGAGCAGUCUUCUUGUUCAUCAGAUCAGGUCUAGGUUCCAUGUUCACAGGGAGCAAAGAAUACAAAGCUUCCAUCUUCCUUCUCAAUCGGAUCAUGCAUACUCAUUUCAUUAUAUAUACUCUCUACACCGGAGUAAAAACACCCUCAUUGGAACCCUAAUUUUUCACUGGCGCCCCCUUUUCCUUCUUCUCCAGCCCUUUUUCCAUCUGGCCCACCCGUCUCCCUUUCUUCCAUUUCCCCUCUUCGGCCCACCAGCUCUCCUGCCCUCUCUCUCCACUUCUCAUGCUUGGUGACUGUUCGGCUUUUCCGGCAGCUGAAAUGGGAACCUUCCUGAAACUUUACUGUGUUACUCUAGCAUCCCUUUGGUCAUAUAGAAUCUCACCAUCAAUCAUUGACAGCUGAAAUGGGAACCUUCCCGAAAUUUCGUUUUUCAAUCUAUGCACAGCCGAGUCCGAGGGGCUUUAGAUCAUGGGGUCCUCUGUCAAGAAAAGUAGGGGGUAUGAUCUGAGUGGUUUUGGGUUUGGAGUUCUGAUCUUAAGUGGGGAUGAUAGGUUUUGGGGUUCGGAUCCUGGUGGUUUUCUGGGUUUGAGAUGUUAGGAGUGAGGGAUCCGUUUCGGAUCUGGUUUAUUCUUGACCAGUUCCUGGACUGUGUGUGCCGAUGUUUGUUUCUGGUCGCCUUUCGAUCUGAAUUUUUGUUCUUAUUGUUUAUCAAUUAAUGUUCAAAUUUGAAUGUUCAUUGAUGGAUCUGUUGUGGUCCAAUACGAUUAAUGACUGCGAAAUCUUUCUAGUGCUUCAUGUUAAUUUCUAUUGUUAGAUUCUGUUGCUAAUUUCUAAUCUCAUUCAUGUGCUUCCUCAUCUCUAACCUCCAACACCCUCCCAUCGCUGCUUGGCCCACCCAUUUUUGGAUUUGAUCGGUGAUGGCUUUGGGUUCUUUGCUCCGGUUUGGUGGGUUGUUUGCUACAGUACUGUGAUGAAUCGGCAACUCGUGAGAGUCUUCGAAUCAAUUUCUUCAUUAUGUUAGCGAUUUUACUAACAAAUAAAGAGAUUUUGGAUUUCAAAGAAAAUGAUGAAAUGGGCGAAGACGCAUAAACUUACAGUAAACGAAACCCAUCAAUUCUAAUUAACAAUUAAAAAAAGCCCCAAAAUGAUGAGAAGAAACAGACACCCAAAUCCCACAACAAAACAAACCCAGUGCCCAUUUGUUCUCCAAUCAAGCCUCCAUUUGUAAUUCCCUUUUCAAUCAAGAAUCCAAAAAGUUCGAAGAUCCUUUAUUUUCUUUACUUUUCGGAUCACCACCCUACAAACAAACCAAAAUCAGAUCGUGAAACAAGCCCAUGGCUUUAUGAGAGAGCUCGAGAAUCAGAGUGGGUAUUGUUAGAAUGAGUGGAUUUGAGAGUGUUGGUGGGUUUGAAGGUUGAAGGGAGAAUAAGAGGAGAAGAGAGGAAAAAGAAGGGGGUAUUUCAGACAUUUACUAGGUUUUUUUUAACUCUUAAAGCCCCUUAUUACACGCUUUUGGCGUUUGACAUACACGCACGGUUAAGUUGGAUGGAAAAGGUGACGUUUUCACUUCAACUCAAAAAGUCGGAAGUUUAAAUAUAGCUUUACCGACUACAAGUGGUUAAGUGGGAAAGCGCCCAAACCCCAGGUGGCUAUCUGAACUUUACUCUUAAUAUUUUAUUGACUUUAAUUAUUUAAUAUCAAGUAUUAAAGAAAUUAGUUCAUAAAAUAACAUUUGAUAAGUCAAGGAUAACUUCUAUUCUUAAAUGAUUUUUAUUCACUAAAAUUUUCAAAUAUAUAUAUAUAUAUAUAUAUAUAUAUUAUGUAUUAAUUAUUUUUACAAAAGAAUAAUAAAGAAAAAUGCAAAAGGUUUUUAUAUUCCUUCUUCAUCCGAAAUUAAUUUGGGAAAUUAAGUCAAUAAAUGUGCAUGUAAUCAUUAAUGGACUAAUGACUUGACCGAAAGCAUACAUGAAAUUUGGAAAUUGAAUAUUAACAUGUGCUUAAAUUAAGUGAGCAGAAGUUCGGAGAAGAAGUUGGGAAAGAUGAAAGGCAAAAAGACUUUGCUUGCUUUGACCGCGUGCUUAAUUAUCAUGUGAUGAACUAAAUGUUUGUCAGGAGUUUGAAUUGGUAGGAAUCUUAUUUAACAAUCCGUGUGCUUAAAUUGAUUUAUCCUAGGCAUUUAUUUUAUUUUAAAUCAAGCAUUCCAAGCCUUUGGUUUUCAAAAACAAAUGAAAAAUUACAAUUUUACCCCAAACUUCAAAAAUACUCCCUCUGUUCCUAAAAUAUUGUCGUUUUAGAAGAAAAAAUUUGUUCCAAUUUAUUUGUCGUUUACAACUUUCAAGGAGAAUAAAAACCGGUGUAAUUAUGUAAGACAAGUGAAAACCGGAGUAAUGGAUGAGCAUAUUAAUUAUGUAGGACAUGUUACAAUAUAGAAAUGACAAAUGUCAUCCAAUAGUUUUAUGUACUGCAAUUUAGUAUAUUUAAUAGAUUAAGUCAUUCCCGAACUGGAAUCAUUUUGAUUAAGUACAUUUUGUAUUACUAAUUGCAGUUAUGAUCAAAAUUACAUAUUUAAUUCUUCAAAUUAGUAGGACCAAAAGAAAUCAUAAAAACAUCCAACUGAGUUUUGAUAUACUUUCCAUAUUUAAAGAUUCAUUAACAAGUUUUUGUUACCUAGAGCCAACCCGACCAACCGAGCCAGUUGACUAUAUAUAUCGAUGCUAUGCAAGUAUUAAUCAGAGUACCUUAAAAAAUUGGGAGUUUUGAAAAUUGAAGUAGAUGUCGGGAGCAAUUAAGCUGCUAACUGUGGUUUGGAUAUGGAUGAUCAUUGCCUCGUUCAUCUCCAUCAUCAUAUCUGCUUCCCUAGAGAAUAUGACCUUUAACUUUAGUUGUUCCAUUGGAGAUAUACUUCUUUACUCCUUUGUUGCUGCGGUGACGCUGUUGUUCACGGAUGUGUUGCAGCUAGGUGUUCAGAGACUUCACGAUGCACCGAAAUCACUGAGAUUUGAAAGUGAUUUGUGGCAUGUCGUAAAUUGAGUGUCUGCUCAAAGGCUCAAACGUGAUAAAUGUGAUAGUUCCUCUCCUGUUCGUCGUUACGGCCAAAACGACUCCUCCAACUGCCAUUAUAUUCCGCAAAGUCGAAGAUGUUAGGAGGAAAGGAGAUACGUUUCUAAUUGAGCUUCUAUUGUAAAAUAUUUGUCAACUAAACCAGAUUUCUCUCUUUUUCCUCAGUAACGAUCUUAAUUCAAAUUUUCAGAACAAUUUACACUUCAUUCCUCCAUUAUUAUCGAGGUAUAUUAUUGAAUUAAAUUACCUAUUUUUUAUAUUUUUUAAUGAUGAUUUUAGUUUUUGACUUUUUUUCAUCUUAUAGUUAUAAAUAUGUACUAUGAAAAUUCUGAAGAGAAGAAUGACUAAUAAAUUUACUAUUCAACUUUCAGAUGCAUGUGAGACCUUUAAUUUUGUACUAUUACUGUUGUUUAAUUUUAUUUUUUUUAUUCAUCUUAAUAAUUUUGUACUAUUCCUAUUUUUUCUAAUGAGAAAAGCAACUAUGAACUCUUCUCUUGAUUUUGACAGAUGCACAGGUAAGAAGUUUAGCAGCAUUACAUAUUAUAACACUUGGAAGUUUUUGGAUGUGUGCCAAGAGAGAAAAAAUGGCCAAAGUUGAAAUCAAAAAAAUGGCGAAAGUUGAAAUCAUUUCGAAAGAAGAAAUUUAGUGUGGUUUUUGUUAAUAAUUAGAAGAACAUACAUCAUAUUGCUGCAGAUUUUUACUAUAUACCCUUGCAAUUUACUGUGGAUCAUUAUAGAAAAAAGGUCUACUGCUUAUAAUAGAAUCUUGUUCUUCAAUUGGUUAAUGUUGUUUCGGUUUUUCCAUCCAAGAGUUAAGAUUACAGAUAAUUUAAUUGAACGCAUUGACCACCUUUUGAAUUUGCUGAGAAGUAGAUGUAUAAUCUAUAAUGAUCAAGUCCCCUGCCAUUAUCGGAGAAUAUAUAUUUAAGAUUAACUGAUCAUUUGAGCAUGUAGAACAUAUAUACGAGUGAGGCAUUUGUUGGAAUUUGUGUUCAAGCAAACCCCCUACUACCCAUUCUAGUAAUUUCUAGUAAGCUUAUGAUCUUUUGACUAGGUUGUCACUUUGGGCCCAAAUAUUCCAGUAAAGGGUAGUAGGGAGUUUGCUUGCACUUGAUGUAAAAGAUUAAAUACCAACAAAUGCCUCACUCGUAUAUAACUUAAUCUUAGACAAUCUCUGCAAUAUAUAUUCUCCGAUAAUGACAAAGGACUUAAUCAUUACAGAUUAUACAUCUACUUCUCUUGAAUGGACUAUCACACAACAACAUUAACCAAUUGAAUAACAAGAUUCAAUGUCUUUCUUCUAUAAUGAUCCACAGAUAUGUAAUCAAAAUCUGCAGCAAUAUUAUGUAUGUUCUAAUUAUUAACAAAAAUUACACUAGUUUUCUUAUGUCGAAAUGAUUUCAACUUUCGCCAUUCUCUCUCUGUUGGCACACAUCCAAAAUCUUCGAAGUGUUAUAAUAUGUAAUGCUGCUAAACUUCUCCCUGUAUGUCUGUCAAAAUCAAGAGAAGAGUUCAUAGCUGCUUUCUCAUUAGAAACAACAGGAAUAGUAUAAAAUUAUUAAAAUGAAUAAAAAAAUAAAAUUAAAACACAAAAUAGUACAAAAUUAAAGGUCUCACCUGCAUCCCAAAACUGGAUAGUAAAUUUAUUAGUCAUGCUUCUUCCAUAGUACAUACUUAUAACUAUAAGAUGAAAAAAAAGUCAAAAAACUAAAAUCAUCAUUAAAAAUAUAAAAAAAUAGAUAAUUUAAUAAUAUAACUCGAUAAUAAUGGAGGAAUGAAGUGUAAAUUGUUCUGAAAAUUUGAAUUAAGAUUAUCACUGAGGAAAAAGAGAGAAAAAUCUGGUUUAAUUGACAAAUAUAUUACAAUAGAAGCUCGAUUAGAAACGUACCUCCUCUCCUCCUAACAUUUCCGACUUUGCAGAAUAUAAUGACAGUUGGAGGAGUUGUUUCGGCCGCAACGGCGAAAAGGAGAAGAACCAUCACAUUUAUCACGUUUGAACAGACGCUCGAUUAGACUCGUAUAUCACUACGAAAUCUUUCGUCAAUCCAGUGUUAUCAACUAAGAGUAAUUUGAGGAAAUAUGCGAGUAUGUUGGAGAAAAACGUAAUGGACUCUUCACCGGCAGCAUAAUGUAGAAAAUGGAACGACACGCCGCAAAUCACUUUCAAACACAAUCUCAAUGAUUUUGGUGCAUCAUGAAGUCUCUAAACACCUAGCUGCAACACAUCCGUGAACAACAGCGUCACCGCAGCAACAGAGGAGUAAAGAAGUAUAUCUCUGAUGGAACAACUAAAAUUAAAGGUCAUUCUCUAGGAAGCAGAUAUAGAUAUGAUGAUGGAGAUGAACGAGGCAAUGAUCAUCCAUACCCAAACCACAGUUAGCAGCUUAAUUAUUCCCGACAUCUACCUCAAUUUUCAAAACUCCCAAUUUGGGUCGGGUCGGCUCUCGGUGAAACCAAACAAAAACUUGUUAACUAAUCUUUAAAGGGUUAAAUGCAAAGUUGACCAUUGAACUUUUCUGAUAUUUGGAUAUUGAGCCCACAUGUGAUAUUUGGGUAUUGAGCCCCUUUCUUCCGUUAACCCCUAGGCGCCACAUGUGCGUUGACCUACUGACGUGGCACAUUGAAACUUUGGUCAUAUGACCGCUGGAGCAACAUAGGUCACCUGUUAAUAUCUUACAAACAAGGAUUAAUAUUUAUAUCAAAAACGAGAUUUCCCCCAUAUAUUCUUUUCUUCUCCUUCACUACAUACCAUAACUAAUUGCGUGACAAAAAUAAAAAUAAAAAUAAAAAUAAAUAAAAUAGUAAUAAUAAUAAUAACAAUAACAAUAAUAAUAAUAAUAGUACUAAUAAUAAUAAUAAUAAUAAUAUAUAAUAAUAAUAAUAAUAAUAACAAUAAUAAUAAAAAAAAUAAUAAAAAAAUAAAAAAUAAAAUAGUAAUAAUAAUAAUAAUAACAGUUAGUUAUUUGAAGGAGAAUAAUAAUAAUAAUAAUAAUAGUACUAAUAAUAAUAAUAAUAACAAUAACAAUAAUAAUAAUAACAAUAAUAAUAGUACAAAUAAUAAUAAUAACAAUAACAAUAACAAUAACAAUAAGAUAUGUUUUGACUUGUCAAGUUAAUUAAAUUAAGAAGCUUUUUUUCAAAGUUUAAAUGAAUUAAUAUAUAUUUUAAAAACUGACUUUAAAAUUAUUGGGGUUAGGUACUUUAACGGGUUAAAUGCAACUGAAUUAAUAAGCCUUUUUAUUUAUGGUAAACUUGUUUAAAAUUAUUUGGGAUUCCUAAUGCCUAAUUCAUAAUAUACCAUCUACGCUUGCAUCUUGGAAAAUCUCAUGUUUUGAUAUAAAUAUUAAUUUUUAAAAGAUAUUAACAGGUGACCCAUGUUGCUCCAGCGUUCAAACAAUUGGUUGCAGGUUUGAAUUCGUGCAAAGGCAAUAUUUGGAAAAAAUUCAAAAGACACCACGUCAGCAGCGUACACGUGUCAAAUUACAAUAUUAAAUACCACGUCAGACCUGCCACGUGUCACGUAGGCGCCACGUGUGCCACAUCAGCAGGUCAAUGCACAUGUGGCGCCUGGGGGUUCAAAGUCCAAAUUUUUGAAUAGAAAGAGGCUCAGUUUGCAUUGACCGGAAGAAAGGGGUUCAAUAUCACGUCAGACCUGCCACGUGUCGCGUAGGCACCACGUGUGUCACGUCAGCAGGUCAACGCACAUGUGGCACCUGGGGGUUCAAAAUCCAAAUUUUUGAAUAGAAAGGGACUCAUUUUGCGUUGAGCGAAAGAAAGGGGCUCAAUACCUUAAUAUCAGAAAAGUUCAGUGGUUGACUUUGCAUUUAACCCAAUCUUUAAAUAUCAAAACUCAGUUGGCUGUUUUUAUGAUUCCUUUUGUUCCUACGAAUUUGAAAACUUAAAUAUGUAAUUUUGAUCAAAAUGUACUUAAUCAAAAUCAUUCUAGUUAUCAUUCCCGAACCGGAAUCAUUUAGAUUAAGUACAUUUUUGCAUUACUAAUUGCAGUUAUGAUCAAAAUUACAUAUUUAAGUCUUCAAAUUAGUAGGACCAAAAGGAAUCAUAAGAACAUCCAACUGAGUUCUGAUAUACUUUCCAUAUUUAAAGAUUAAUUAACAAGUUUUGGUUUGGUUUCACCGAGAGCCGACCCGACCCAACUGACUAUAUAUAUCGUUGUUAUGCAAGUAUUAAUCAGAGUAGCUUAAAAAAUUGGGAGUUCUGAAAAUUGAGGUAGAUGCCGGGAACAAUUAAGCUGCUAACUGUGGUUUGGGUAUGGAUGAUCAUUGCCUCGUUCAUCUCCAUCAUCAUAUCUAUAUCUGCUUCCUAGAGAAUGACAUUUAACUUUAGUUGUUCCAUCGGAGAUAUACUUCUUUACUCCUCUGUUGCUGCGGUGACGCUGUUGUUCACGGAUGUGUUGCAGCUAGGUGUUCAAAGAUUUCACGAUGCACCGAAAUUACUGAGACUGUGUUUGAAAAUGAUUUGCGGCGUGUCGUUCCAUUUUCUACACUCUGCUGUCGGUGAAGAGUCCAUUUCGUUUUUCUCCAUCAUACUCGCAUGUUUCCUCAAAUUACUCUCAGUUGAUAACACUGGAUUGACGAAGGAUUUCAUAAUGAUAUACACAGUCUAAUCGAGCGUUUGCUCAAAGGCUCAAACGUGAUUAAAUGUGAUGGUUCCUCUCCUGUUCGUCGUUGCGGCCGAAACGACCCCUCCAACUGUCAUUAUAUGUUGCAAAGUCAGAGAUGUUAGGAGGAGAGGAGGUAUGUUUUCUAAUCGAACUUCUAUUGUAAUGUAUUUGUCAACUAAACCAAAUUUUUCUCUCUUUUUCCUCGGUGAUGAUCUUAAUUCAAAUUUUCAUAACAGUUUACACUUCAUUCCUCCAUUAUUAUCGAGGUAUAUUAUUAAAUUAAAUUAUCUAUUUUUUUAUAUUUUUUUAAUGAUGAUUUUAGUUUUUUGACUUUUUUUUCAUCUUAUAGUUAUAUGUACUAUGGAAGAUGAGAAGCAUGACUAAAAAAUUUACUAUUCAGCUUUGGGAUGCAGGUGAGACCUUUAAUUUUGUACUAUUUCUGUUUUUAUUUUUUUAUUCAUUUUAAUAAUUUUGUACUAUUCCUAUUGUUUAGCAGCUUUACAUAUUAUAACACUAGGAAGUUUUUGGAUGUGUACCAACAAAGAGAAAAUGGCGAAAGUUGAAAUCAUUUCGAAAUAAGAAAACUAGUGUGAUUUUUGUUAAUAAUUAGAACAUACAUUUAUAAUUAGCGUUUAAAUCAUUCAUCAUACUAACUAUUCAAAAAGAGCUCACGCUUCUAAAAGGGCCUCAUGCUUAUUUGGUGUUAAAUCAUAAGUACCUUAUAGCCUGAAGUUCUUCGUUUUGCCUGUAGAAAAACUCUAAUUGAACAUGGAAAUUAGAUAUGAUUAGAUAUAAGUGUUUUAUAAUUUUAUCUAUUUAUAUUUUUAUUUUUAAAUUUUUAUAUUUAAUUUAAGAGUAAAAAUAUAAAUAAAUAAAUUAUAAAACACUCCUAUCUAAUUAUCAUAUAAAAAAAACUCUUUCUAUUCUUCUCUCAGGGUUGGCCUUUUAGUUUUGGGUCCCACUCAUGCACAUCUAGAAUCUUAAAAAAGUUGCCAGUUGAAUUGACUGUGUGGAUGACCCACAGCCCACUGGCCUGCCCAUCAUUACUCCCACCGCUCCCAGUCUGUCAUUUUGCCUCCCGACCUGACCUGACCCGGACCUUAUACAAUUAAUAUUAUAUUUAAUGUUAAAUAAUUGUGUCCUUAAUACUUGUGUAACUCUAAAACCUCUUGUAUCAAAAGACAGAGGUAAUAUGUAGUGUUCCUGACAUACCCAUUCCACUUCAAUAACUAAACCAUAGGUGUAAUUUUGAAACAAAAGGUAUACAUCUAUUCUUGAUCACAAUGACAUACAAAUGCAUCAAAUUACAGACACAUACAAGCAAGACAAAGUUAUUUCUCCAUUUCUCCCACCCCUUUUGGUUCAGCUAGAAACAUCACAUCAUCAGCACUUCAUGUGAUCAAAUAUGAUUAAUAAUUAAGGUUAUUAAACCUCAUAAAGUACAUUGACUACACUCAUUCUUGUCCAAUUGUAAGAUCAAGAUAAGGAUAUCUCAAAUUUCAUUUUAUUUAACUUCUGAUAAGGUUGUAUCAAACUAACUCCAAUAUCUUGGCUGCCUCAUUUUUAAGAGUUUAAGAUCAUGAAGAAACAUGGUUAUAACCUUGGGCUGAGGGUUUUUAGUUUUUACAGUCAGUUCAGAUGGCAACCAACCAACAAGUCAACAACCACCAAAACUCCAAAACAAAUACUCCUACAAGUAUCUCACUUGAACUUUUCUUUACUCAUUUCAUUCUUUCACUCAAAAAUCACAACAAACGUGAAUCAAAAUUCCAAGCAUGCUAUAACAAGAACCUUGAGGUCUGGCAUGUGAUAUGGUGGUGUGCACGGUUCAGUGUCCCAGAUUGUUAUUGGCAAACAAAUUAAGAGCUAGUAGCUCUUCACAGAACAUGAACAUGAAGAAACUAGUCUAUGGUGCUUGAUUGUAACCAACACACUUCAAGCUCCAAACAAACUUACAUACAGAACCAUGGUCUUUGCUUCCUCAAGCAUUUCAAGAAUCCCAAAAACCCUUAGUCAACAAAACAAUCGAUGUAAAUUGGCAAUUCAACAUUUCUACUGUAACAGGAAGUAUAUGCCUUUUGAAACAGAAACAUAAAUUAAGGAGCACAACAAAUUAGAUAAGAUUUCUAGCGAGUAAAGGUAAAAAAAAUAAAAAUAAUGUAUUUCCUCAGUAGGAAAUAUGCAACACCUAAAAGAAAGGUUAAAAACUUUUAGUAAUUAGUACCAAAUAGUUUGCAAGAGAAGUAGAGAACUGCCGAUUGCCGAAUACCCACCGGCCACCGAGACGCGGACGGCGGAGCUGCGAUUGCGAAUGCCGAACGAAGGAAGACCAUGAGAGCUGAGAGACUGAGAGGCGGCGUCGCGGAGGCCGGACCGCCGGAGAGUCGGAGACUAAAUCGAAGAGAGGCAAUUAGCGAGAGCGAAACUGAGAGAGACGUAGAGUCGAGACUCGAGAGAACUCCGACAAGAGGAAAAGAAUCGGGAAUGGAAGGGGCUAGGGCAAAAUCAGUACAGACUGGACUAGGAGAGACUGAGUGUACAUAUAAAUAUAAAAUUAUUAUUUUUUAAUUAAAGAGUUCGGUUAUUCGAUACCCGAAUAACCUAUUUUUUAAAUCCAUACCCAAAACCGAUUACCGAGAAUUAAUUCGGAUAUAACCGAAAUUCGGUUAAAAAAAUUCGGUUGUGCUCGGUAAUUCGAUUUUAUCCGUUAUUUGCUCACUCCUAAAUAAGAUGUAGACGGGAGUAGGAGGAAGAAAAAAAACAUUGAUCAGCGAGUUAACUCUAAAUUAAUCGAGAGAGUUGACUCAGUGAGUUUUUCAAUUAAUUAAGAAUUGCUUAUGUUAUUUGACGUCAUUCUUGAACGUGUUUUUAUAUAUAAUAAUUGAUAUCUAUAUAUAUACUAAUAAUUGUAUGUGCUUUAAAACACGGCGACAUUAGACAAAAUUGCAAAUCUUACCCUCUUAUUUGUCAUGUUUUUACUAAACUAUUUUCAAAAAAAAAAUUUAGCAUAAUUGUUCCUCAUAGAUGCAUUAAUUAUGCAAAUGUGUUCCUUCAAUGUUCCCUAAUUUUCUUUUAGUUCCUCAUAAAUACUUUAUUCAUGCAAGUAUGUUCCUUAAAUUUUUUUCACCUAUUAAAAAUUAGUUUUCCCUCUCCUCUCUCCCCUUUCUCUUAUCUCCUCAUUUUUUUCAUUUUUUAUUUUAAAAAUUUAUAUAAAAAGUAUAAUUUUCUUCUUUUUAUUUAUUUAUUUCUAUAUUGACAUUUUGAAUUCAAUAUGAAAUAUAUCUAAAUUCAAAAUUAGUAUAAAUUAAUUAAUUUUAGAAAUAUAAUUACCAAAAUUAUAAACUUUACUAUUUUUUAUUUUAUAAAAAUGGUACUAAUAACUGUAUGAUUUAUCUAAUCGAAAAUUAAAUAUAUCUCAAUUUGAUUUAAAUAAAUCAAAAUUGAUCCUAUAUUUUGAACAAAAGAAAAAAUUAAAAAUAUUUUCAAAAUUUUCAUCAUACGACUAUUAUUAAAAGUUGAACUCAGUAUUUUUAAAGAAACAAAUAAAUUUUGAAAUAUUUUAAAAUUUAUAUUUUUCUAUUCAAAAUAUAAAAUCAAGGUUGAUUUGUUUAAAUCAAUUUGAGAUAUAGUCCAUUUUAAUUAGAUAAAUCAUACAGUUAUUAGUACCAUUUAGACUAAAUAAACAAAAUAUUAAGAUUUAUAAUUUUGGUAAUUAUAUUUUCUAAAAUUAAUUAAUUUAUAUUAAUUUUGAAUUUAGAGUUAUUUCAUAUUGAAUUUAAAAUGUCUUUAUAAAAACAAAUAAAUAAAAAGGAGAGUAUAUUUUUUUCACAAAUUGGAAAGAAAUGAGAGAGAAAAUUAUUUUUUAAUAGGUGAAAAAAAUUGAAGAAACACAUUUGCAUAACUAACGCAUCUAUGAGGAAUAAUUGUGCUAAAAAAAAGUUUAUGGAACAUUGGAGGAACACUUUUGCAUGACUACCACAUCUAUGAGGAACAGUUCUAAAAAAAAAUUUAGAGAACAGUUUAGCAAAAAUAUAACAAAUAGAAGGGUCGUGUUUGUAAUUUAGUUUACUACAUUACCUAAAAGACUCUUUGCAACCUAAAAUAACUUGCAAAUCAAUUAGAAUGAAUAUGAAUUAUUUUUGUACUUUUCCGCCCAAAUCAAUUUGCAUGUGCAAACAUAACGUCCGCAAUACUCGAAAAACAAGAAAAGGGAGUUAAUGCUAAAAGGGUGACCCAUGUUGCUUAUUAUUAUUAUUACUAUUAUUAUUGUUAUUGUUAUUGUUAUUAUUAUUAUUAUUAUUAUUAUUAUAAUAAUUAUUAUUACUACUACUAGUAUUAUUAUUAUUAUUACUAUUAUUAUUAUUACUAUUACUAUUAAUAUUAUUAUAGUGUAGGGUGAAUUUGAUUUGGGCAACAAAAAAUUUAUGUGAGAUGAAAUGUGAGUCAUUAGAUUAAGUGGAAGAUUUUGAACCGUCUUUGUGCUUUGUCAAAUGAAAGAUUUUAUGUUUUACUAUAUAUACAGUCAGGAUCAGGAGCUUACCCAACAUAUCUAUAAAAGCCCCUUCUCUUAGUAAUUUCUCUCUCCUCGCUCAAACAAAACGCGUCUUAUUUUUUCCCCUCUUAUUUCUCUCAUCUGAAAGCACCGCGAACUAGAAUCCAUCUUAAUCCGAAAAAUCGAGCGAGAAUAAGCCAUGAUCUGAAGCCCUUGACACGAAGCGAGAGAAUACCGAAGAGAAGCUGAACACAAUCGACCCCUUCCCUCAUCCGAUUCUCACUCAUGUGCUUCCAAAACAAGCCCUAAUUCUGGUAUGUCUCCAAUUUCCCUAAUCCUGGUAUUUUAAACUUUUGUGUAGACCCAAUUCUUGAUAAUGAAGUUCAAGGAGGUCUCUGCACUUGAUAGAAUGACCCAAUUCUCGAUAAUGAAGUUCAAGGAAUUUGUGUAUAGUACGUGGAUGGAACUAUUCAUCUUUAGCUCUGCAUUAUUCAUUUUGAAUUAAUAUGCGCCAUCACUACGGUAGUGUCUUAAACACCCCCCCUCCUAAUUUGAUCAAUAUCUUGUACAGGGUGUAAGUUGUGUUUAGAUAGUUUUGUAAAAACAUAGAACUGUCACUUUCAUAGUUUAUACCUUACUAUAAGCUGGUAUUUUUUUUAAAUCAAAAUCUGAUACUGCUAAUAUGGUGGAUGUUAUGACAGUGGAUUUUUUUUCUAUAUCAGGUACUUGAUUGUUGUUUAUUAUGGAUGCUAUGAACCAUAAAAUUGAUAGUUGUGGGGAUAAUGCAGAAAUGAAUUUAGAUUGCAUUUACAAUUUUGAAAUGGAGAAGGAGAGGGAUGACUUGAUUGAAGAGGGGUUGGAUGUGAACAAUGAUAAAUCUGUCUACUAUCCUCAAGUAGCCGAUGAAUUUACGCCUAAGCUAGGACAAGAAUUUCAAACAUUAGAGGACGUUCACACUUUUUACAAUACGUAUGCAGUACAUGCUGGUUUUAGUGUGCGAAAGCAUACUGAGAAAAAAAAGGAGGGAAGCGGUGAGAUUUUGAGGAAGGAGUUUGUCUGUUAUAAGCAAGGAAAGGGCAAACUAUUAGCCAAUGUGGAUGCAAAAAGAAAACGUGGAUCUACCAAUGAAGGUUGUAGUGCAAGAAUUGUGGUGGUUAAAAGAAAUGACUUGUACGUAGUUACCAUAACUGAAGAGGGCCAUUGUCAACCCCACAUAAGAGACAUCUGUUACGAUCGCACCGUAAUGUGUCAGCUGCCCAAAAAUGUUUGAGCCAACAACUUGGCAUGGUGAAUAUACCACAAUGCCAACAAUACAACUUUCUUGCAGUGCAAGCGGGAGGGAUUGAAAAUAUUGGUUUCACGCAACGAGAUUUGUAUAACUUUGAAAGAGACAAUCGUAAUGAGCUGAAGGGACAAGAUGGCGAUAUGUUGAAUGAGUACUUGAAGUUAGAACAACAGAAGAAUCCUGCAUUCACCUUUACAAUUGAUACAGACGAUGAAAAAAGGAUUACUCGUUGUUUUUGGGCUGAUGCAACUUCUAGACGGGCUUAUAGAUUUUAUGGCGAUGUUGUCAUUUUUGAUACCACGUACAACACUAAUCGUUACGGAAUGAUAUUUGCACCACUAAUGGGGGUUAAUAACCAUGGUCAAACCAUUGUAUUUGUUUGGUUUUUCAAGUGUUUUUUGGAUGCAAUGCCAGGCGAUGCACCUAAGAUGAUUAUCACUGAUCAGGAUCCGGCUAUGACAAAUGUCAUUUCACAUAUCCUUCCAAAAACAUUUCAUAGGUAUUGUAGUUGGCACAUUUUAAACAAAUUUUCAGAAAAGAUUGACUCAGCGAAAUUCAGUGCAUAUUAUAAAGAGUUUUCAGAUUGCAUUUGGAAUUCAGAGACUGUGAAAAAGUUUGACUCUACUUGGGUGGAGUUGGAGAAAAGUGGGUUCACUACUAAUAAAUGGCUAUAAUCAAUGUAUGACAUCCGUUGUAGAUGGGUACCCGCACAUGUGAAUCAUGUUUCCUCAGCUGGCAUGUCAAGUAGCCAACGAGCGGAGAGUUCUCAUGCGUUUUUUAAAAGAUUUGUUUCUAAAGGAAAUUCAUUAGUGGAUUUUAUGAUUCAAUUUGGUCGGGGCCUUCAACAUCAACGACAUGUAGAGUUGGAAGCAGAUAACAAAGAUUUGAUUGAGAGACCGAGAAUGAAAAUUGCCAAUCACUUCCUAAGUCAAAUGGUUGACAUUUAUACAUAUUCUAUGUAUUAUAAAUUUGAAGACGAGUUGUGUGAGUCUUUGAAUUAUAAGUUUGAACUUAUGAAAGAGGAUGUCAACUACCAUGUAUAUAAGAUUUGUCGAAGGAAUGUCAACAAGUGUAAUGUAAGAGAAAUCCAUUAUGACAAAUCUUGGGAUUAUGCUACAUGCACUUGUAAAAAAUUUGAGAGUUUGGGAAUCCUAUGUCGGCAUAUACUAGCUUACUUGAAUAAGUAUCAUGAUCUUGACAAGUUGCCUACAAAAUACAUUUUAUCGAGGUGGACAACGACAGCAAAAUCAAUAAGUGUAAUUGAUGAUAAUGGUGUGGUGAUAAAAGAUGACAAGUCAUACUUACUCUUGCGGAGUCAAUUGAUUCAACGUUCUUUACAUUUGAUUGAUAGUGCUCUCGCAAAUGAAGAAGCCACAAAUUUUGUUAAAGAAUGUCUAGAUAAUGGAUAUGAGAAGGUGAAGCAAAUUAUUGGAAAGACUGAUUCCGAAAGAAACAAGGAAAUGGUGUGGUGGAAUUAGUGUAUCCAAGUCAGUUAACAUGACUUCUACACAUGAACAUAGUUAUAUUGAGCCAAACCACGUGCGAGCAAAAUGGUGUGGCAAAAGGCUAAAGGGUGGCAAAGAAAGGGCUUUGGGGAAAGCAAAAAGUGCCAAGAGUAGACGUUGUCAUGCAUGUGGGGAGGUUGGUGUGACACACGAUAAAAGAAACUGUCCGAAGCUUAAUAAUCUGUAAGCAAGUUUGUGUAUAGAAAUGACUGCUAUUAUUUUAAAAUUGACUUUAGUAUUUGAAUAAUUUUGACUUUAAUAUUUGUUUACAUGUAGAAUUGGAGUAUCAAAUGAUGAUGCUACUCAGACUCCAAGUGUAGAUAAUGAUGAUGCUACUGAGAUUGAUAUGUGAAUCAUUAAAUCUAAAUUCUGAGGUAAUUCUAAUUUUUAUUAAGUUGCAGCUUAUAAAUUGGUGUAAGUUGCUGCUUCAUCUAAUUUUUAAGGAGUUGAAAUUAAGCUUAUAUAUUCUGGAAUUUGUUUGUGUUGGUUGUGAAGAUUUGAUUUGAUAAUCGGGUAUGAUGUUGUUACAUUUUACAGACUUCAAGGUUAGUGGUGCAAUGGCAAUUCUACUACUGCACUUAAAGGCCACUUGUUGAUCUAUGUAUUGCCACUUGUUGACUGUUGUAGAGGGAUAGAAGGCACUUGGACCCAAAUAACUAUUGUAAUAUCACUAAAUCAAUAAUGACAUCAAAGCAGCCAAAAAUUCAUUAGCUGUAUGGCUAAAGAAAGUACUGGUUGAAAAAAUGAUUGGCCAUUGCUGUACACUGCAAUUACUUGUAAUAAAUCUGGAGAAUUAUGUUUCAGAAUUGACAACCAUAGGCACAAAGAAUUACUGAUUAAAACAUGGUGAGCAAUUGGUUUAUACUAACAUGAGACUUCAAAUUCGACAAAAUACAAUAACAACAAAGGGAAGCCCAAAUAUUUCUUAAACAUAGAAAACCCACAAGAAAUCGCACCUAAAAGCUUCGUUCCUUUCGAACACAGAAAUCGAACACAGAUUCGGGUCAGUGGGAGGGGAAAAAACUGAUACUACACAAAAGUAAGGGAAAUUGGAGACAUACCAGAAUUAGGGCUUGUUUUGGAAGCGAGAAUCGAUGAGGGAAGGGGUCGAUUGUGUUCAGCUCCUCUUCGGUAUUCUCUGGCUUCGUGUCAGAUCAUGGCUUAUUCUCGCUCGAUUUUCCGGAUUAAUUUUCCGAAAAAAUAAGACGCGUUUUGUUUGAGCGAGGAGAGAGAAAUUACUAAGAGAAGGGGCUAUGUAUGUUGGGUAAGUUUAAUAAGCGUAAUAUAUAUAUAAUUAUAUAUAUAUAAACAAACUUAUAAUCAUAUGGAGUACAAAUAAAGAUUUAACGUAAGACCAAAA
rnacentral:lncRNA from 1 species